UAUUAGGAGAUGGUAUAAAGUGUAUGUUGUAAUGUGUAGGAUAUAUACAAAGAUACAUACUUGAAAGUCCGUAGAGGAAACAAAUUUUUAUGCCUUCUGUUUGACUGUUUGUCAUAUAUUUGGUUUUAUUUCCCAGGGAUCAGUGAAUUUUAACUCUGGAGUCCUCUAUGCUAAGGAUGCUCAGCUUACAGAUGAUGAAAUGUUCAGUAAUGUAUUUGCUGGAGCUGUGCUUACCCAAGGUUUGGGUAAAACAAGCUUUGGGUUCCUUCUGUCUCACUGGGAGUUGCCCAAUUCAGUUGCAUCUGGUGAAAUUCACCCUGAGACCUUACAGAACUAGCUCCAACUACGUGAGAGUCAUUUGCAGUUCUCUCCAGACACCUGGAGAAUGGGCGACGUUUCUGAGGAUCCGGCGAGCGUGCUUCUGUCAAAACUCAGUCUGUGAAAUUUCUGGGGAAAACACUUCUGUGUCCUGAAGGGUUCAAACUCUGGUGAGGAUCCAGUUAUCAGGUGCUCACCUGGAUGGUUCCAGCUCCCAAAGGGAAAGGCUCUCGUAUCCUUGUCGUCGGGCUCGGUGCUGUCCAAGAAGAUACAGAGACUAAAAAAAUCAUAAGAAGCAAAU